CACAUCUGUUUACAUGUUUUCACAUCAAGGCUACUUUGGUGACAGUUUGUUAGCUAAAUUAUAUAGCAUGAUACAUAUCCCUGCUUGAGUGUGCGGGCAUACUUGGCUAAUAAAACUGAUUCUGAAUCUGAUUCAGAAAAAUGGCAGUGAUCCGUACGAAAGCCGAAGGAAUCGACUCUUAUUGAAGAGCUGAGCCAAAGGAUUCGGUUCACUUAAAAGAGCCAGUGCUUUCCAUCACUGAAGGAAGUGAAGUGCGCGGUGAAAAAGCAUCAUAAUGGACGCUACAGUGGCAUAGGGUGAGGUUGUGGGGAGGCUGCCCCAUGUGCUCUUCUGUGUGGAGUGUCUCUGCUCUCUGGAGUGUCCUCAGGACUCCAUCUCUGUCCCCUCAGCUGUCCCGACUGUAGGGUGAGCACUGUUCACAACUCCUGUCCAUGCAGCCAUCACUCCCUUACUGCGCUACAGCAGGUCAACCAGCUUUCACAACUCUUUUUAUGGGAAAGUAGCUAAAGCAUGCUCAAUUUGUCACCAGAUGACACCAUAGACUAUUUUUAAAAAAAAAAUUACUUAUGAUAUGGCAAUGAAUAUUACUAACUAGUUUUUAAAAAGAAAGCGAGGCAGAUAGGGUGCCGAUACUUGUAGAGUUGCAUAGAUAUAUCAUGAACAUGCACAUUUUUUAACGUGUUUACAAAUGAAGACGGCAGGCAAAGUCGUGAAAGGUGAGUAGUCUGAAGGAAAUGGUUACUCGUUUGUAAGUAUCAACAAGAAAAGUGUUUAAAAUGAAGAACUAUGGGACAGUAAAGUUAUUAAAACAUAACUUUCUCAGAAUUACUAAGUAGAUAACACUAGUUGGUCAUUACUACACCCCAUAACGUUAGAUAAGUAUGUCUGAGUUUAGUAUUUAUGCAGACCUUUUAUAUAUUUUUUUAUUCCUCCACCACUAAGUCUGUCCAUCCAUUUAAGGUUUUCGUUAAUGCAAUAUCUCAAGAACCAGUGGUUGAAUGUUUGUAGGAAUUCUAUAGACUAUAUAGUUGUUGUAACUAGCAGAUGACUCGAUUAUUAUUUGGAAUUGAUCCAAAAAUAAACGAGGUCACAGCAGUUUCAUGUUUAGGAACUCAAGGCCCUUUAUUGUUUUUUUUUGGCUAGCUACGGUUUUGCCAUCAUUCCAUGCUUCUGUGCGUCCUUGCUUUUGCAUGAGAUUCUUGUUUAGUGUGACAUCUCAAGAACGAAAGGUUGAAUGUUUUAUAGUGUAGCAGCAGCGGCAGGUGGAACACAGACAGAGUGAGACUGGUUAAGAGAGCUUUUAUUUUGUAGCAUGGGAGUGCAGAAGGAUUAUGGGACACUCUGUCCUGGGGAAGCAGUCUGUGAGGGAGGUGUUAGAGAGGAGUGUGGUCGCUAUGGGCCAGGCAGAGCGGUGUAGGCUGGUAGCAGAGUGCGAAGGCAGCGUAGGUAGUGGGGGUGAGGGCUCUUGGGGGGGAGAGACUUGCUGUCGUCAUCGUCAUCUGCAAGACAUAGAACAGAAUUGAUCAGCAUAGACAUGUAGACAAAAGCUGCUCAAGCUGCUGAGGUUGUGAUGCCUUUUUAUCCUCUCCAGUCUUCUCUGAGAGGGUGAGGAGUUGCAGUGUUAAUCUACCGCAAGUUGUGCUCUAUUUCCCCACCUCAUGCUCUGCGGCAGUCGACAACAGUGAUGCUGAAAUGACUGUCUGUUCAGCACCCAGGUGGCAGUAGUGUGAGGAGCAUUUUUCACCUCUUCAACAGGUUCAUGUGGUUCCUGUACGUUUCUGCUCGCUUAUCGGCUGCUGCAGGCGUUAUCGUCAGCUGCUGGAGGCUGGCCUCCAUUAGUUGCUGCAGCAUGGAAUCCAUGUUUUUAUUUUUAAAUUUUUUAUUAUUAUUAUAUUUUUUUUCCUUUAUUUUUUUAUUUGGCCAGGUCUGUGCUCAUUCCCGCAUCCUUCACCAGACUUACAAAUGAGAAAAUACAAAAUACAAGCAAAGCAAUAUAUCAAGCAGAGAACACUGCAAGUAGUGCUACAAUAGAAGAUUUUUAAUUGAGUUCUAGAAGAUGCAAAAAUGUAAUCAGCCCUGAGAUUCUAACCAGCGACCUUGGCGUUCUUAACACCACGCACUAACUAACUGAGCUACAUUGCCACAUAUAUAAUAUAUCAUAAUAGUUUCGAAGAGAAUUUUUAAGCGAAUAUUUGUAAGUGUCCAAAAUUAUAUGGAGGGAGCUCUGUGCAGCGGGGAAAGCACUCAAACAUUGCCCGGGGAGGGAGCGUCAUGUCGCACAGACUCUGGCCAGCUCCAGGCCGAUCAUCGCUGAUUUUUUCCCAGGGCGUUGAAGAGUUACCAUUGAUGAAAUUGUUACUUUACAUUUAUUUGGUAAAAAGCUUAGACUUUUCCGGAACAUUCAGCCUUUAGGGGCGAUUAAGAGUUCCCGGAUAGCAAGCACAUUAGGCCGAUUCUGGUAGAAAUGCGCGACUGUCGGCUCAAUGCCGGUAUCGGUGAAAAGGUAAUUGCCCAGAGCCCUGCUGACCGUUCACACCACUUCUCGUUGACAGACGGUUUUUGCUAUGUGGGCCAAUCUCGGCUGAAAGCAGGUGUAAUUGCGGCAGGUCCAUACUCGGUGUAGCGGUGUGUAUCUGCUUUUUCGAGUUCGUUAAGUCACAGACGGGCCACAGCUAAAAUUAAGGAGCUCAGCCGCCUGGAAAAAACUUUUGACGGUUAAAUCAGUUAGGAUACUCGAGGCUGCAGUCAUUCUUCAUUUUCAAGAGGAAUCUUUUCAGCUGAAGAAGACAGUGAUAAAGAGGGCAGGACCCGGUCAGACCUCCAGUCAGACGUCGAAGUGUCUGGGUAAAGACCAUCAAGGUGUAAAACAUGCAGAUAUUUGUUCAGCACAUCGCUAUUGCUAUUCCUUGAUGCUUUGAGAGCAUAUUCAAAGUUGUAUUUUUCAUGAAACAUUGUAGAAUUUGGCAAUAUAGUCAAUAUUUUACACUCUUACAGAGAUUCUGCAGAACUGGCAGCCGAUGGACGAUAUGCCGUGUGAGCGUAUUCUUCUGCUUUCUGAUUGACUUUCUUUGCCAUGCUGAGGGAGGUGUUGACUAAAUUAGAGAUGGUGCUGGACCAACAAAUCACUGAGAUUGCUUCAACUACAGGAGGUCCAGCUGCAGCCUUUGGAUAUUGAUGAAGAUUUACUGCCCCUGCAAGACCUUCCUCAACUGCGUAGUCUGGAGCGAAGGAUGCAACAGAGCCCAGAUUACAAGCAAGAUCUGUUCAUAGAAACCUCUUUACGCCUAAAGCUGCAGCGAUGGAGGUCGAGGGGACCAUGAAGAGGUGGCUCCAGCUGGCAUCAGAUCA